GCAAGUCGAACGCGGUUAGUAGCAAUACUAACUGAGUGGCGAACGGGUGAGUAACACGUGGGUGACCUACCUUCGAGUGGGGGAUAACGUCCCGAAAGGGACGCUAAUACCGCAUAACAUCCUGCCUUUGAACAGGCGGAGAUCAAAGCCGGGGAUCGUAAGACCUGGCGCUUGAUGAGGGGCCCGCGUCUGAUUAGCUAGUUGGUGAGGUAACGGCCCACCAAGGCGACGAUCAGUAUCCGGCCUGAGAGGGCGGACGGACACACUGGGACUGAGACACGGCCCAGACUCCUACGGGAGGCAGCAGUGGGGAAUUGUUCACAAUGGGCGCAAGCCUGAUGACGCAACGCCGCGUGGAGGAUGAAGGUCUUCGGAUUGUAAACUCCUGUUGCUCGGGACGAAAAGCUUCGACCUAAUACGUCGAGGUCUGACGGUACCGAGUGAGGAAGCCCCGGCUAACUCUGUGCCAGCAGCCGCGGUAAUACAGAGGGGGCAAGCGUUGUUCGGAAUUACUGGGCGUAAAGGGCGCGUAGGUGGCCUUCUAAGUCGAACGUGAAAUCCCUGGGCUCAACCCAGGAACUGCGUCCGAUACUGGAAGGCUUGAAUCCGGGAGAGGGAUGCGGAAUUCCAGGUGUAGCGGUGAAAUGCGUAGAUAUCUGGAGGAACACCGGUGGCGAAGGCGGCAUCCUGGACCGGCAUUGACGCUGAGGCGCGAAAGCUAGGGGAGCAAACGGGAUUAGAUACCCCGGUAGUCCUAGCCCUAAACGAUGAAUGCUUGGUGUGGCGGGUAUCGAUCCCUGCCGUGCCGAAGCUAACGCAUUAAGCAU
rnacentral:rRNA from 1 species